GUUGGUGAACGCAGCAUAGAUCGCGCCAGCGACCUAGGUUCAGGCAAAUUUUUCUGCGAUUCCAAAAUUUUUCUCUGUUGCCGCGGUCGGUUUUCACGGGGAGGCACGGACGUGGGCACGGAACAGAAGGACUAGCUAUUGUUAUUCUGUGGCACGGAGGCACGGUGGCCACUGAGUCGGUGGCAACGGGAACGGGGUAGUGGGAACGUCGAUCUCUUUAGUUUGUCUUGUUUUUCAUCUUUUACUGAUUUUAAAGUUUGAGUUUCCUUAAUUUUUUGGCUCCAUUGUCGUCGAUUUCGGACGAACUCUCGAAAAUUAAUGAGUUCUGAAGUAGUUUGAAGGAGCUUCGGCUAGCCGGAGUACACAAACAAAAGUAACAACAAAAAUGGCGUUAGAAGAGGAGGCCCAGAUUUGUAGGCUUUGCGGGCAGUGCGAGAGCAUCUACAUUGAUGUCUUCGGGGAAGAGGGAACAAAGCGAUAUCUGAGCCUAAAAAUCCAUACGAAAGUCAAUAUUUUGAUCACGCAAGAUGAUGGCCUAUCGAGGAAGAUAUGCAUGCGAUGCAUAGGCACACUCGAAUUUGUAACUGAUUUUCAUAACAAGUGCCACCAGACCCAACACCAACUUUUGACAGCUAAGGAGCAUUCUCGAAAAAUUGCGAAUGUUGACAUUACUGCAGAGUCCGACAAAGAGAACACCUUGCCAGCUGACCCACUCAUGCAGAUUGGGCAUAAGACAACGGUGAUCACUGAUUCUACCGCAAGAGCGAUCGAUUCCGCAGAGUACGAUACCUCCGGCUGUUUCCGCGAUUGCCACGGGGUCGCGAAGUAUGAAACUAUCUGGACAGAAAGUAGAAGUAACAAACGAAAAAAAUCUGAAUCAGUUAUCGGUGUAUUGGAGCCAAAAAGCCUGCGCGGUAAAGAAGCUACUCUAAGUUCGGAAUAUAAUGAUACUAUACUGCAGAAGCACAAGCUCCGAGAAACAAGGGCCCAAAAAGAGAGCGUGGAUGGAUACGAACAUUCAGAAGUCCCCGUCAGUUGUAUUCAAACGAGGAAACAAGUACCAAAAAAAAUCGAGAGAUCUAGAAGUAAUUGCAAGAAAGCACCUCCAUCCAACUCACGAGAAACCAAAGUUGGCAACAGGAUUGUGACUGAUAAUUUUGACGACGAGUUUAAUAUGAAAACAGCACCUAUGUACGCUAAGAAAACGGUGCUCGCACCAUUAGAAAAUGUUCUUGCGCCAAUUUCGAGUGAAUUAAGUCAAGAUUUCAACAAUCAACCGACUACCGAGAAUCUACAGCCAAAUGGGAACGUCAACAAAAUGCAAGUCAAGGAGAGCCAGGUAUUCAAGGAAUGGUUAGAAAACAAGCCUGUUGGCAAGGGCUUGAAUAUUAUACGCGCAUCACAAGGUUACCUCGAAACGACAACGGCAUCGCAGCAUCUGAUUUCAUUUUCCAAAAAAUUGAUCAAAAGCGUUGAACUGAAUGGUGGACAUUUUCACGAACGACGAAAGAAAUCUGAAGAUCAAUUUGGAAAGUUAUCCGAACUAAUAACUCACGAACAAAAAAAAGUCAUUGAAACUUUAUAUACAAUAAACAUGGAUGUGGUUGAUAAUGCAGAAGUAUACCGAAAUAUAACGAUUUUGAAUAAAUUAAAAUUCAAUUGUAAACUAUGCGGAAAAACUUACGUGAGAAUGGACAAAUGCCAGGUUCAUGUAUGGGGUCAUUUGAACAUGAAGCCAUAUAGCUGCAAAUUGUGUGACUUUGUUACCCUCACAAUAAGUAACAUUCGAUGUCACAUUAGAAAACGCCACUUGAAGAUUAAACCGUUCCAAUGCAAUCUUUGCGAAAAGACUUACGCAACCGCAGUGCUGCUGAAGGAACACAUAAACUCUCAUACUGGUGCAAAGCCCUACUUAUGCAAACUUUGUGACUUUGCCACAGCCAACAGGCAGGUUCUCAGUUAUCACAGAACCACCCACAAACCCGCGAAAGACAUCUCGUGCGAGAUGUGCGACAAAAAAUUCUUCUCAAAUUGCAGAAUGCGGGCGCACAUGAUUACCCACAACAAAGAUAAAGCACUGAAAUGCAAACUUUGCUCUACAUAUUUGUGUAAUGCCGAGGCACUAGAGAUGCAUUGCCAGAAAGUUCACGCGCGCGAGUACAUCUGCAAUAUUUGCGGGCUACGGACUAGAACGAAAAAAGCUCUGACAAACCACGAAAAUGUACAUUCAGCAGCCAAGUACAGAUGUCCCCUCUGUUCCAAUGUAUACAAAAGCCGACAUAUGUUGAAGGAGCACCUUCUCAAGCACCAAGGGAUCCGAAAGUACAAGUGUCAAUUAUGUCAGAAGUCCUUUGCCCAGCAGUCCCACAUCGCCGCACACAUGAGCGUGCACAUGGGGAAAAGAUACCCGUGUCCUGGUUGCAAGAAACUAUUCAAUAGACGAGACAACAUGAGGAUGCAUACGAAACGUUGUGUACUUCUCAAGUCUGAUCCAGAUUUCAAGAAUAUUUUUCCUGACCAAAGCCCGACCCAUCCGAUUGUAGAGGACAAUCGAUUGGCUGCACUAAUCGACACUGAUACCUCUGGCACGCCGAGAGCAACAAAAUCGAUGGAGAAUCCAAAGCCCGAUACAGAGAAAAAAGAGACCGGGUCAGGCUUAAACACGACCGAUUUGUUGUGAAGUAGGACUAGUGAUUCACAAGAGUUGAAGGAAGAUUUUUGGCAUGCGGAUUAUUUCGUUCAAUUCAGAAACGAUGUUAAUGGAUUCUUCGAUUUGUAGGAGUGCGAAAUACCUAUCCCCACUCUCUAAUCCCAUUGCGAGAAAUCUUCACAGUGAAGGUUUCUCUGCUACAUCGGUAUCCCACGACAGACUGGCAUACACCGAAUUACGAUAAACCUCUACAUCUACAGCUACAUACAAUGAAAGUGUUUAUACCCAGUUAAUGAAGAGCAUACAUAAUGUAUGUAAGUACAGCUAAUGUUCGGUAGUCCAGACGAAUUUCACAUAUAUCUAGUGAUUUGGCGGGGCGGGGAGCGACAGUAGAAAAGGAGAAAGCUACUUGCCCAGGUGAAAGUCGUCAGAUGACCCGAAUUCUUUCAAUGCUAUCGUCAAAAUUCAGUGUCGUUCGUUGAUCCUUGAAGUUCGCGCGGUCCAUCCCGUCAUAUAGUAUAGCGACAACACGGAUAAUUGUACACGAAUAUAUAAUAUAUUAUCAGAGCGGUAUCCAUACGAAUUGGAAGGAUUCGGCGGGGAAUAUUAUAACUUG
rnacentral:misc_RNA from 1 species